GGGGGCUCUACCGCGGGAGGGCGGGAGGGGAGAGGAUUACCCCCAGCCCUGAACGAUUCUGAUUAAACUGCCAGGUUGUGGACUCUCCUCAUGGAUGCAAGGACAAGUACCAGCCGUCUGAGUCAGAAAACAAUGAGUUACUACAGAGGUUUUUUUUUUUUUCCCCUUUCCAGUUCCUGUUUCCAUCUGAUAAUUUCUGCUACUUCAUGUAACAUGAGUAAGGGCAUUUCUUAACCCCUGCAGGCUCAGCGUUAAAGUUAACCAAAGCAAGAACCAAUGAACGUGGAGCAAAAGCGUGUAAUACAGGAGCCUUUUGAGGAGUAUGGAAUUAAAAUUGAAAUAGAAUCAACAUAUUCAUCAAAUUUUUCUCAAUCCGUUUCUAUUGCUUUAAAUGGAAUUAGCUAAGGAGGAUGUGUACACUCAACCCCUGUAGAAUUAUUGAAAGCCUUGUGAACAGACACAAGGCCAUGUGAAAACUGACCUUUCAUUGGCAAGUAAGACCCACACGGCAUACACCUCCAACUGGAAGUAUGAAGUUGAGAAGAUUGAAGUGUAUUCUCUGGAGGGAGGUGUAUUCUGGAAACGGAUUUUUUUUUAUUAAGAAUGAAGGCUCGUUUGAAACAUCUGGAAUUGUAUCCAUACCCAGACUUGCCAUAAUACGAAAGCCUUCCUGAAGCAGGUAAUGAAGAACAAUUAUUUUCUCAUAAAGUAAAAGAAGCCAGUGCGACUGGGGAAGACUUGAUAAAGCUGAGUAUCUAAGGAAAGGGCUCAGUUGAUUUGUGGAGAAAAAUGAGGAAAUGUUUUCUCUUUGGAGAAAAAUGAGGAAACAGAAGCUGUAGUUCUACUGAAAAAAAAAAUGGCGGUUAUCCAACUCCAGAAUGAGGGUGGUUCUUCCAAUGUUUUAGAGGAGUUCCUGGAGUAGUUACAUUAUUCUUCUUGACCAAAAUACUUGAUACGACUGCACAGGGAUAUGCCAUCAAAGAAGAAUUUCUAUUUUGUGAGCCCUUUGGGAAAUUGCUAAGGCUAGAAAUGACUUUAAGAAUGAUGAAGCAUAAUUUUACUGAGGGGAAAAAAAAGCCAAAACCCUGACACCCUAAAAUGUUCAGCAACACCCCUGGGUUUUGCUUCUCUGGUGAAGAAAUUGGAUUCAAAUGUCAUGAUAGAAAUGAGAUUUACGUUCUUUCUGCAAGGGCACACCUGAUGGAAAAAGCAACUACUCUAGAAGCAUGCAAGUUAUCAUGGUAGGAGUCUGGGCCUUAAGCACUAUCUUUUUAGAAAGGAAUGUGAAGCAAUAAUAGAAAAAUAUCAGUAUGCCUUUGACUACACAGAGCUUCCCUAGUUUUCCAGAGGAUGUUGACAUAUGUCUAACCCUAUUUUCUGGAGAAGUUUUAGUUUUUAAGAGAAAAGAAUAACCCUCAAAAUAAUUCCAAAGAGGCAUUUAAUCAGGGAGUUUGGCUCAUUUAGUGAUAAUUACAGCUGGUCAGUUGAAUGAGUAAAUCUUUUCAUUUUUAAAGAUGCAGAAUAAGCAGUCGUUUUAGACGAACAGCCAUCAUGCUGGCAGAGGUCAGAAAUUGAAAUACUAAGUUUGGAAUGCCAUAAAUGAAUGCUGAUGUAGAGAGGAUCUACUACUUCUCAAUUUUGCUGCAUGCAAAAUUCUCAGAACCCUUUCUCAAGUAUGCUUCUACCCAGAUGAAUGGGAAAGGAACAGUCCUUGACUUCCUGACAAGACUUCAACUCGGGGCCUUAGAAGAUUCUAGAUAGGCCUGCCUUAACAUACUCCGGUAUCUAGCAAAUUAUAUGAAUUCUAACUUUCUCUGCUAUUACGACUACAUACCUCCAGGGAUUAGCAUUUUCAGGAAUCUCAAAAUGAAAUAAAAAUAAA